GUGUGGCAGAGGCAGAACAGUGAGAGACUCCCAGCAGCUCUGAGCUUGGCCCACAUUUCCAAACCCCUGAGCCAAUCUCAAUCCCCAGGAGCCCAGGGCAGGUGAGACCCUAAAGCAAGGAGGA